GUGUACCAUUUGCACCACUACACUCACUAAAGGCCCUAUCCCACUUUGGCGGUGCUGGCUCGAAGGGCCAAAUGGCCUACCUCCUGUGCCUAUUGUCGAUUGACCUCCCCAAUCCUAUAGGUUCAUUAUUUUAAUCUUUUAACAAGGGCUCCCACUUAGGGUAUUUUU